rnacentral:rRNA from 1 species
GACGAUGCGUAGGGGUUCUGAGAGGAAGGUCCCCCACACUGGUACUGAGACACGGACCAGACUCCUACGGGAGGCAGCAGUGAGGAAUAUUGGUCAAUGGCCGGGAGGCUGAACCAGCCAAGUCGCGUGAGGGAAGACGGCCCUACGGGUUGUAAACCUCUUUUGUCAGGGAGCAAGAGGCGGGUCGAGACCUGCUGUGAGAGUACCUGAAGAAAAAGCAUCGGCUAACUCCGUGCCAGCAGCCGCGGUAAUACGGAGGAUGCGAGCGUUAUCCGGAUUUAUUGGGUUUAAAGGGUGCGCAGGCGGAGGCACAAGUCAGCGGUAAAAUCGCGGGGCUCAACCCCGCUCCGCCGUUGAAACUGUGUCCCUUGAGUGCGCGAAGGGUAGGCGGAAUGCGUGGUGUAGCGGUGAAAUGCAUAGAUAUCACGCAGAACUCCGAUCGCGAAGGCAGCCUACCGGCGCGCAACUGACGCUCAUGCACGAAAGCGUGGGUAUCGAACAGGAUUAGAUACCCUGGUAGUCCACGCAGUAAACGAUGAAUGCUAUCUGUCCGGCCGGAAUGACGGCUGG